CCCUGGGGAUAACAGGCUUAUCUCCCCCAAGAGUCCACAUCGACGGGGAGGUUUGGCACCUCGAUGUCGGCUCAUCACAUCCUGGGGCUGUAGUAGGUCCCAAGGGUUGGGCUGUUCGCCCAUUAAAGUGGUACGCGAGCUGGGUUCAGAACGUCGUGAGACAGUUCGGUCCCUAUCCGUCGCAGGCGUAGGAAAUUUGAGAAGACCUGUCCUUAGUACGAGAGGACCGGGAUGGACGUACCUCUGGUGUACCAGUUGUCCUGCCAAGGGCAUGGCUGGGUAGCUAUGUACGGAAUGGAUAAGCGCUGAAAGCAUCUAAGCGCGAAGCCAACUUCAAGAUAAGAUUUCCCACCGCAAGGGUAAGACCCCAGAAAGACUAUCUGGUUGAUAGGUCGAAGGUGUAAGUGCAGUAAUGUAUUUAGCUUAUCGAUACUAAUAGGUCGAGGACUUGACCAAU
rnacentral:rRNA from 1 species